AACGCGAAGAACCUUACCUGGGCUUGACAUGGAGAGGACGACAUCAGAGAUGGUGUUUCCCCGCAAGGGGCCUUUUCACAGGUGCUGCAUGGCUGUCGUCAGCUCGUGCCGUGAGGUGUUGGGUUAAGUCCCGCAACGAGCGCAACCCUUGUCGUUAGUUGCCAGCGCGUAAUGGCGGGCACUCUAGCGAGACUGCCUCGGUUAACGAGGAGGAAGGUGAGGAUGACGUCAAGUCCGCAUGGCCCUUAUGCCCAGGGCUACACACGUGCUACAAUGGUCGGUACAGAAGGAAGCCAAGUCGCGAGAUGGAGCAAAUCCUACAAAGCCGGCCCCAGUUCAGAUUGUAGUCUGCAACUCGACUACAUGAAGAUGGAAUUGCUAGUAAUGGCGAGUCAGCAACAUCGCCGUGAAUACGUUCCCGGGCCUUGUA
rnacentral:rRNA from 1 species